rnacentral:misc_RNA from 1 species
UCAAACUUGGUCAUUUAGAGGAAGUAAAAGUCGUAACAAGGUCUCCGUAGGUGAACCUGCGGAGGGAUCAUUACCGAGUGAGGGUCUCCGUGCCCGACCUCCAACCCAUUGUCCAACCCACUAUGUUGCCUCGGGGGCGACCCGGCCUUCGGGCGUCGGGCACCCCGGUGGACCACUUGUAAACCCUCGCGUCGUUGCGUCCGAGACUUAAAAGUAUAAAUGGAAUGAAAACUUUCAACAACGGAUCUCUUGGUUCUGGCAUCGAUGAAGAACGCAGC